UAGCAACUUUCAGCAGUGGAUGUCUAGGCUCGCACAUCGAUGAA
rnacentral:rRNA from 2 species